AUGAGCCACAGACUGACACGUUUGGUGACACGCGGAAAGAGAGGCAGAAAGGUGCCCAUACUUCUUCUUGAGCGCACAAAAGCUUCGCUUGACUUCCUGGUUGAAAAACGGAGGGAAGUUGGCAUACUUGAGGAGAACCCCUUUCUGUUUGCCAGGCUUAGCACAACAACCAAUCUCCGUGGGUGUGACUGCCUCAGAAGAUAUGCAGAAGAGAGCAAGGCCAAAAACCCAGAACUGCUGAGAUCAACAAGGUUGAGGAAACAUGUUGCUACCUUAUGUCAGCUUCUCGACCUCAGCAAUCAGGAACUUGAGCAAGUUGCUCGUUUUAUGGGACAUGAUAUCCGAGUCCACUGCGAGUAUUAUCGACAGACAGAUAAAACAUUCCAAGUGGCCAAGAUUGGCAAACUUCUGUUUGCGAUGGAGCAUGGAGCAGAGUCACUGAAAGGGAAGAGUCUGCAAACACUGGACUCCGUUAUCAGUGGCAAAAGACACGCAGCCACCCCAACUAAAGAUCUGAAAGGUGUCAAAAAGAGAAGGACGUCAGAUGCAGGAAUUCAACAGGAAGCUCAUGAAGAUGGACUGGUGCACCAGGAGAUAGGUGGAGGACAAAUGGAGAGAACUGCAGAAAAACAUGAUGAUGAUGCUCCAGAAAGGGUAGUGAAGAACCGAGGUAAGAGACCCUGGAAUGACCAGGAGAGGACGGCAGUCAAACGACGCCUUGCCAAGUCAAUCGCCCUUAAAAUGGUUCCAGGAAAGCAGGACUGCCUGAUGUGCAUUGCCAAAGAGUCUCCAGUCCUAAGUGCGCAGAAGUGGAAAGACGUGAAGUAUUUUGUAUACAACGAAAUUCUUAAAGUUAAAAGAAAGCUUGCAUUAUGAAUGAAUUGACUGAGUUUCCUCCCUCUGUUGUAUUUCCGUGUUUUAAAGGGUGAAUUGUCUGUUAGUUUGUUCAUUUGUUAGCACUCUAACAACUUGAACAAUAAUAAUAAAUGCUGGUUUAUUUAUUAUGUCUGCCA
ensembl:lncRNA